rnacentral:rRNA from 1 species
GAUGAACGCUGGCGGCGUGCCUAAUACAUGCAAGUCGAGCGAACAGACGAGGAGCUUGCUCCUCUGACGUUAGCGGCGGACGGGUGAGUAACACGUGGAUAACCUACCUAUAAGACUGGGAUAACUUCGGGAAACCGGAGCUAAUACCGGAUAAUAUAUUGAACCGCAUGGUUCAAUAGUGAAAGACGGUUUUGCUGUCACUUAUAGAUGGAUCCGCGCCGCAUUAGCUAGUUGGUAAGGUAACGGCUUACCAAGGCAACGAUGUGUAGCCGACCUGAGAGGGUGAUCGGCCACACUGGAACUGAGACACGGUCCAGACUCCUACGGGAGGCAGCAGUAGGGAAUCUUCCGCAAUGGGCGAAAGCUUGACGGAGCAACGCCGCGUGAGUGAUGAAGGUCUUCGGAUCGUAAAACUCUGUUAUUAGGGAAGAACAAAUGUGUAAGUAACUAUGCACGUCUUGACGGUACCUAAUCAGAAAGCCACGGCUAACUACGUG